rnacentral:rRNA from 1 species
GAUGAACGCUGGCGGCGUGCCUAACACAUGACAAGUCGAACGGACUUACAUUGAAGCCUAGCGAUAUGUAAGUUAGUGGCGGACGGGUGAGUAACGCGUGGGUAACCUGCCUUGUACGUGGGGGGACAACCGUUGGAAACGACGACUAAUACCCCAUAGUUCUGGAGGGAGGCAUCUCCCAUCAGGUAAAGAGAUUCGGUGACGGAUGGGCUCGCGUGACAUUAGCUAGUUGGUAGGGUAACGGCUCACCAAGGCGACGAUGCGUAGCCGACCUGAGAGGGUGAUCGGCCACAUUGGGACUGAGACACGGCCCAAACUCCUACGGGAGGCAGCAGGUGGGGAAUAUUGCACAAUGGGCGAAAGCCUGAUGCAGCGACGCCGCGUGAGCGAAGAAGUAUUUCGGUAUGUAAAGCUCUAUCAGCAGGGAAGAUAAUGACGGUACCUGACUAAGAAGCACCGGCUAAAUACGUG